UACGGAGGUGGCGAGCGUUGCUCGGAAUCACUGGGCGUAAAGGGCGCGUAGGCGGGGAGGUAAGUCGGGUGUGAAAUCCCUCGGCCCAACCGAGGAACUGCGCCCGAGACUGCUUCUCUUGAGUCCCGGAGAGGAAGAUGGAAUUCCCGGUGUAGCGGUGAAAUGUGUAGAGAUCGGGAGGAACACCGGUGGCGAAGGCGGUCUUCUGGACGGUGACUGACGCUGAGGCGCGAAAGCGUGGAGAGCAAACGGG
rnacentral:rRNA from 1 species